rnacentral:rRNA from 1 species
AUGAUGGAGAGUUUGAUCCUGGCUCAGGACGAACGCUGGCGGCGUGGAUUAGGCAUGCAAGUCGAACGGUAGAUAUCCUUUCGGGGAUAUUGAGAGUGGCGAACGGGUGAGUAACACGUAGAUGAUCUACCCUCAAAUGGGGGACAACCCAGGGAAACUUGGGCUAAUACCGCAUGAGUGCAGCGCCUAAAUUAUCUUAAGAGAGGGUAAUUUAGGCGCUGUAUAAAAGAUGGCUUUAGGGCUGUCGUUUGGGGAUGAGUCUGCGUCCUAUUAGUUAGUUGGUGAGGUAAUGGCUUACCAAGGCGAUGAUAGGUAGGCGGCCUUAACGGGUGGUCGCCCACACUGGGAUUGAGAUACGGCCCAGACUCCUACGGGAGGCAGCAGUCGAGAAUAGUCUACAAUGGACGAAAGUCUGAUAGUGC